CCUACGGGUGGCAGCAGUGAGGAAUAUUGGUCAAUGGACGAGAGUCUGAACCAGCCAAGUAGCGUGAAGGAUGACUGCCCUAUGGGUUGUAAACUUCUUUUAUAUUGGAAUAAAAUGUUCCACGUGUGGGAUUUUGUAUGUACCAUAUGAAUAAGGAUCGGCUAACUCCGUGCCAGCAGCCGCGGUAAUACGGAGGAUCCGAGCGUUAUCCGGAUUUAUUGGGUUUAAAGGGUGCGUAGGUGGAUUGUUAAGUCAGUUGUGAAAGUUUGCGGCUCAACCGUAAAAUUGCAGUUGAAACUGGCAGUCUUGAGUACGGUAGAGGUGGGCGGAAUUCGUGGUGUAGCGGUGAAAUGCUUAGAUAUCACGAAGAACUCCGAUUGCGAAGGCAGUUCACUGGACUGCAACUGACACUGAGGCUCGAAAGUGUGGGUAUCAAACAGGAUUAGAUACCCCAGUAGUC
rnacentral:rRNA from 1 species